AGUUGCUGGAAAGAAUUUUGGUCAGGGAUGAACUCGCGGCCUAUCAGCUAGUUGGUGAGGUAAUGGCUCACCAAGGCGACGACGGGUAGCCGGCCUGAGAGGGUGACCGGCCACACUGGGACUGAGACACGGCCCAGACUCCUACGGGAGGCAGCAGUGGGGAAUAUUGCACAAUGGGCGAAAGCCUGAUGCAGCAACGCCGCGUGAGGGACGACGGCCUUCGGGUUGUAAACCUCUUUUAGCAGGGAAGAAGCGAAAGUGACGGUACCUGCAGAAAAAGCACCGGCUAACUACGUGCCAGCAGCCGCGGUAAUACGUAGGGUAGCAAGCGUUGUCCGGAAUUAUUGGGCGUAAAGAGCUUGUAGGCGGUUUGUCGCGUCUGCUGUGAAAUCCCGAGGCUCAACCUCGGGUCUGCAGUGGGUACGGGCAGACUAGAGUGCGGUAGGGGAGAUUGGAAUUCCUGGUGUAGCGGUGGAAUGCGCAGAUAUCAGGAGGAACACCGAUGGCGAAGGCAGAUCUCUGGGCCGUUACUGACGCUGAGGAGCGAAAGGGUGGGGAGCAAACAGGCUUAGAUACCCUGGUAGUCCACCCCGUAAACGUUGGGCGCUAGAUGUGGGGACCAUUCCACGGUUUCCGUGUCGUAGCUAACGCAUUAAGCGCCCUGCCUGGGCCGUACGACUGGCAAAAGGUAUG
rnacentral:rRNA from 1 species